rnacentral:siRNA from 1 species
UUGAGGGGUGCUACUUGUUUCU